UAUGGCCAUAUCAUGUUGAAAUGCUCGGUUCUUGUACAAUCACCGAAGUUAAGCAACAUUGAGCUUGGUCAGUACCGAGAUAGGUGACUGCCUGGGAAUACCAGGUGCUGUAAG